rnacentral:rRNA from 1 species
GGAAUUUUUGGCAAUGGGCGAAAGCCUGACCAAGCAACGCCGCGUGGGUGAUGAAAUACUUUGGUAUGUAAAACCCUUUCGGCAGGGACGAAUUCUUGACGGUACCUGCGGAAGAAGCCCCGGCUAACUCCGUGCCAGCAGCCGCGGUAAUACGGGGGGGGCAAGCGUUGUUCGGAAUUACUGGGCGUAAAGGGCGCGUAGGCGGUUGGAUAAGUCAGCUGUGAAAACCUCGGGCUUAACUCGAGGCCUGCAGUUGAAACUGUCUGGCUAGAGUGUGGGAGAGGAGAGUGGAAUUCCUGGUGUAGCGGUGAAAUGCGUAGAUAUCAGGAGGAACACCGGUGGCGAAGGCGGCUCUCUGGACCACAACUGACGCUGAGGCGCGAAAGCUAGGGGAGCA